rnacentral:rRNA from 1 species
UACGAAGGGGCUAGCGUUGCUCGGAAUUACUGGGCGUAAAGCGCACGUAGGCGGACUCUUAAGUCGGUGGUGAAAUCCUGGAGCUCAACUCCAGAACUGCCUUCGAUACUGAGAGUCUUGAGUCCGGGAGAGGUGAGUGGAACUGCGAGUGUAGAGGUGAAAUUCGUAGAUAUUCGCAAGAACACCAGUGGCGAAGGCGGCUCACUGGCCCGGUACUGACGCUGAGGUGCGAAAAGCGUGGGGAGCAAACAGGG